rnacentral:rRNA from 1 species
GCGUAUUCAUCCCGCGACACUGCAAUCGCUUCGACGACAUUCCGCAAGGUUGCCUAGGAGUGUUGUUGUUGUGCUCGUUGGAUGCAUUUGCGUGCGGAGUGCGCCGAGUGGGUCGAUGUCGCUGCCGGAAGGGCGUAUAGAGGACUCGGGUUUUCGGACUCGAGAAUCCUGUGCGUUCGGAUAGCAGGUGAUGUUGGCUCGCUGUUGUGGAGUGCGGGUGAAUUCGCGAUGGGCGUCGGUGUGAGUUGUGGUUGCGGAUGGCACAUGUGUCUUCCGUUUCCGCGGCCUACGAUCGGCGUUCGUUGCCCCGGCACUCGACUCGGUGUAUAGUCGGUCACCCAUUCGACCCGUCUUGAAACACGGACCAAGGAGUUUAAGGUGUACGCGAGUCAUUGA